rnacentral:lncRNA from 1 species
CAUUAGCUCCUCUUUUAUCCCUGCCUCCAUUCUCCCUCCUCCCAUCCCCUCCUCUGUCUUUACCCAAUUUAGCCCUCUCACCUCUGACGAGGUCAACGGAAUAAUAACAUCUAACCAUGCCACCACCUGCCCCCUUGACGCUAUCCCCUCCUCUCUCCUCCAGGAUGUCUCAAGCGAGAUCCUGCCAUUUGAGGGGAAAAACGGUCUGUCUAGUUACUGGACCAGAUGAAAUGAGACGGAGAGGUAAUAAAGUCUGUCGGCACGAGGACCUUGGAUUUAUUAAGUAAAGUGGCAACGGUUAUACAGAGUCAUAAAGCGUGAGAGAUCGAAUAUGUCUAAGUCCCUAAUCAGCGCUGAUGGUUCGUCCAGAGCUUCGCCUCCGUGGAAGGUCUGCUCCAGAAGAAGAUGAAGAGUCCCUGUGUGAUACAGUCUUAUGCUGUAUCCUCCUCUCGAUGAGGUGUGUGCGUUUGAGGUGUGCGUGGUUCUGUGUGUUUUUGCUUGACCUUGGCUCUCAGGCCCUGGUAUAUGCAUGUGUAUCUCUUGUGUUCCUCCUAACGGUGAGGUGUGUGCGUUUGAGGUGUGCGUGGUUCUGUUUGUUUUUGCUUGACCUUGGCUCUCAGGCCCUGGUAUGUGCAUGUGUAUCUUCUUGUGUUCCUCCUAACGGGGGAGAGCUCUCAAAAUGUCUCCUGUGUGAUAAAUUAAAACGGGGGAGCGCCCCCCCGAAGUGUCUCCUGUGUGAUAAUUUAAUGUGGCUCUCAGGCCCUGGUAUGGGCAGGUGUAUCUCUUGGUUCCUCCUAACGGGGGAGAGCUCUCAAAAUGUCUCCUGUGUGAUAAAUUAAUGUGGCUCUCCCGUUCUUGAGGAUGACUGGUGCAUUGUCUGAGUGUCCACCAUUUGCCUGGUUGGGAAAUGGGGCCUUCAGCUCCGGCCUUGACCUGACUAUAUUAUCAUGUUUGUGUUAUGUGUUCGUUGGGUUAGAGCAAGAGUUGACUAUAUUGUAAUGUGCCUGCCAUGUGAUGUGCUCAUCAGGCUAGGGUAGGAGUUAGCUAUAUUUGUAAUGUACAUGUGAUGUACUCAGCAGGUUAUUUUUCCCAACAAAAGGCACAGUUGUGACCUAGAAAACAUAAGAAUAUGCUGACAUCCACACAUAUACAUCAUUUAUCUGUUUGCAUAGAGGUUAAUAUAUGUUCAGAAGAUAAAGUAUGACCCAAAAAAACAUGCUAUGCAAAUCAAUAUUGCAUGAAAGUUCAACUUUGUAUUGUGUAAUGAUUGGGGAUAUAAGGAGCAGGACGAGAAUCAUUCUGCAGUGUCUUUGCAAAUCUCACUCGGCUUUGUCGUUGCUUGCUCAAGGGUAGCAAAAAAGUCUCCGUCGA